CAAAAUAUGCUUCAGAGUUUCCACUGAUCAAAACCUGUAAACUCUAAAAUAGAUAGACCCAACGCUCCACGCAUUGCGUAUAUAUAAGUGGUUUUAACUUCAGAAUUCAGAGAUAAAAACAGUACUCAAGACUUGAGUUAGUUUAGUUAGUUAGGGUUUUAGUUGAGUCGAAGGAAAUGCCUUUAUAUAUAAUGUAUCUAUAGAUUUUUCUUGCUGUGUAGAGAAAAACUGUAGUCUCAAAAUUACUUUUCAAGAACCAAGAAGAAUUCAAGAUUAUACGACCAUUUCUUAGAGUCCUGUUUCAAUGGAAGAAGGCAAAGGCAAGAAUACUUUAGGAGAAUCAUCCGGGUCUAAACUGAACCCGAAUGCCCAGCCCUUCCAUCCUAUAGUAGAUGCACCACACGAUAAAAGAACCUUGUUCAUGAAAUUUCUCGCUACAUUCCCAACAAUCUCCAAGCAAGAAAUUCACGACUACUUUACAAGGCGAUUUGGGAACUGCAUUGAGAGCCUUUACAUACCCGGGCAAAAUGUAAGGAAUAGAAAGGUGGGAAUCAUUACAUUCUCAACAACACUGUUUCCUUUUGUGAUAUUGGGACAAUCUGAAGAGGAGAUAUUGUUGAUCUGGGGUGAGCCGGUCAUUUUCUCCCGAUCCAGGUGACUCGAUGGAAACAAGAAUUAGAACUAGUAAAAUUUUUUGGCUGAUAGAAUGAUGUUGAUUGAAAACCAAUUUUGAUUCUGCAUUAAUCCGGUUCAUUUUCAAGAAAUCCAUAUACAUCACGAUGGGAAAUACAAUCAGAACCUAUAAUGUAUUUUUGCUGAAGGAAUCAAUGAUGUAUAAAUUCUGAUACUCUUGAUAUUUCUUUGCUAAGAGAAUGAUGUUUGUUUCUGGGGAUUGAAUUCGAAAUUUGUUUCUGCUUAAUGAAAGA